rnacentral:rRNA from 1 species
AGCAGCCGCGGUAAUUCCAGCUCCAAUAGCGUAUAUUAAAGUUGUUGCAGUUAAAAAGCUCGUAGUUGAAUUUCGAGAUCAAAUUGUUGGUCGUGCCUUGGUACGCACUGGCAUUAUUGGUUUCUCCCUUCUGAAGAACCAUGAUGUCAUUAAUUUGGUGUCUUGGGGAAUCAGGACUGUUACUUUGAAAAAUUAGAGUGUUUAAAGCAGGCUCGCGCUUGAAUACAUUAGCAUGGAAUAAUGAAAUAGGACGUUUGAUUCUAUUUUGUUGGUUUCUAGGAUCGACGUAAUGAUUAAUAGGGAUAGUUGGGGCAUUAGUAUUCAAUUGUCAGAGGUGAAAUUCUUGGAUUUAUUGAAGACUAACUACUGCGAAAGCAUUUGCCAAGGAUGUUUUC